rnacentral:rRNA from 1 species
UACGUAGGGGGCGAGCGUUGUCCGGAUUCAUUGGGCGUAAAGAGCUCGUAGGCGGUUCAGUAAGUCGGGUGUGAAAUCUCCGUGCUCAACACGGAGCGGCCACCUGAUACUGCUGUGACUCGAGUCCGGUAGGGGAGUGUGGAAUUCCCGGUGUAGAGGUGAAAUUCGUAGAUAUCGGGAGGAACACCAGUGGCGAAGGCGGCGAUCUGGGAAGAUACUGACGCUGAGGUGCGAAAGCGUGGGGAGCAAACAGG